rnacentral:rRNA from 1 species
CAUGCAAGUCGAACGCGCGGAUCAGGAGCUUGCUCCUGUGACGCGAGUGGCGGACGGGUGAGUAACACGUAGGCAACCUGCCCAUCAGACCGGGAUAACCACGGGAAACCGUGGCUAAUACCGGAUAAUCCUUCCCCGCACAGGCGGGGGGGUUGAAAGGCGGCUUCGGCUGCCACUGGUGGAUGGGCCUGCGGCGCAUUAGCUUGUUGGUGGGGUAAUGGCCCACCAAGGCGACGAUGCGUAGCCGACCUGAGAGGGUGAUCGGCCACACUGGGACUGAGACACGGCCCAGACUCCUACGGGAGGCAGCAGUAGGGAAUCUUCCGCAAUGGACGAAAGUCUGACGGAGCAACGCCGCGUGAGUGAAGAAGGGUUUCGGCUCGUAAAACUCUGUUGUCAGGGAAGAACGCCGACGGGAGUAACUGCCCGUCGGGUGACGGUACCUGACCAGAAAGCCACGGCUAACUACGUGCCAGCAGCCGCGGUAAUACGUAGGUGGCAAGCGUUAUCCGGAAUUAUUGGGCGUAAAGCGCGCGUAGGCGGUUCGUUAAGUCUGAUGUGAAAGCCCCCGGCUCAACCGGGGAGGGUCAUUGGAAACUGGCGGACUUGAGUGCAGAAGAGGAGAGUGGAAUUCCAUGUGUAGCGGUGAAAUGCGCAGAGAUAUGGAGGAACACCAGUGGCGAAGGCGGCUCUCUGGUCUGCAACUGACGCUGAGGUGCGAAAGCGUGGGGAUCAAACAGGAUUAGAUACCCUGGUAGUCCACGCCGUAAACGAUGAGUG